UCAGGACGAACGCUGGCGGCGUGCUUAACACAUGCAAGUCGAGCGGAAAGGCCCUUCGGGGUACUCGAGCGGCGAACGGGUGAGUAACACGUGAGUAACCUGCCCCUGACUCUGGGAUAAGCCUGGGAAACCGGGUCUAAUACCGGAUAUGACUUCGCGUGGCAUCGCGCGGGGUGGAAAGUUUUUUCGGUUGGGGAUGGGCUCGCGGCCUAUCAGCUUGUUGGUGGGGUAGUGGCCUACCAAGGCGACGACGGGUAGCCGGCCUGAGAGGGCGACCGGCCACACUGGGACUGAGACACGGCCCAGACUCCUACGGGAGGCAGCAGUGGGGAAUAUUGCGCAAUGGGCGGAAGCCUGACGCAGCGACGCCGCGUGGGGGAUGACGGCCUUCGGGUUGUAAACCUCUUUCAGCAGGGACGAAGUUGACGUGUACCUGCAGAAGAAGCGCCGGCUAACUACGUGCCAGCAGCCGCGGUAAUACGUAGGGCGCAAGCGUUGUCCGGAAUUAUUGGGCGUAAAGAGCUCGUAGGUGGCUUGUCGCGUCUGCCGUGAAAGCCCAUGGCUUAACUGUGGGUCUGCGGUGGAUACGGGCUGGCUAGAGGUAGGUAGGGGCAAGCGGAAUUCCUGGUGUAGCGGUGAAAUGCGCAGAUAUCAGGAGGAACACCGGUGGCGAAGGCGGCUUGCUGGGCCUUACCUGAC
rnacentral:rRNA from 1 species